UUUCACUCCCUGCUAAUAUUUUUCACUUGUCUUCUAUUCUUAGCGCCCAUUCACUGGGGAGAAUAGAAAGAAAACAACUGACAACAUCCUCAAAUGUAAACUCAAUUUGCCUCCCUACCUCACACAAGAAGCCAGAGAUCUGCUUAAAAAGCUGCUGAAAACAAAUGCUGCUUCUCAUCUGGGAGCUGGUCCUGGGGACGCUGGAGAAGUUCAGGCUCAUCCAUUCUUUAGACACAUUAACUGGGAAGAACUUCUGGCUGGAAAGGUGGAGCCCCCCCUUUAAACCUCUGUUGGUGUGUAUACAUGAAAGCAUAUAAUUGGGUGCAAGGGCUCAUACCUGU
rnacentral:lncRNA from 10 species